CGGGCGUGUAGCUCAGUGGUAGAGCGCCCGCUUUGCAUCUAAUCUGCGGGAGGUCUGGAGUUCGAUCCUCCACCCGUCCAU